CACGUAGGGUGCGAGCGUUGUCCGGAAUUAUUGGGCGUAAAGAGCUCGUAGGCGGUGUGUCGCGUCGGCCGUGAAAACCUGCAGCUUAACUGUGGGCGUGCGGUCGAUACGGGCAUCACUGGAGUUCGGCAGGGGAGACUGGAAUUCCUGGUGCAGCGGUGAAAUGCGCAGAUAUCAGGAGGAACACCGGUGGCGAAGGCGGGUCUCUGGGCCGAUACUGACGCUGAGGAGCGAAAGCGUGGGGAGCGAACAGG
rnacentral:rRNA from 1 species